AAUAGAUACCCGGGUAGUCCACGCCGUAAACGGUGGGCACUAGAUGUGGGGUUCUUUCCAUGAGUUCCGCGUCGCAGCUAACGCAUUAAGUGCCCCGCCUGGGGAGUACGGCCGCAAGGCUAAAACUCAAAGGAAUUGACGGGGGGCCCGCACAAGCGGCGGAGCAUGCGGAUUAAUUCGAUGCAACGCGAAGAACCUUACCAAGGCUUGACAUAUACGGUCUAUCCCUAGAGAUAGGGAGUGCUUCGGCGCCGUAUACAGGUGGUGCAUGGUUGUCGUCAGCUCGUGUCGUGAGAUGUUGGGUUAGGUCCCGCAACGAGCGCAAUCCUCGUUCUAUGUUGCCAGCACGUAAUGGGUGGGGACUCAUAGGAGACUGCCGGGGUCAACUCGGAGGAAGGUGGGGAUGACGUCAAAUCAUCAUGCCCCUUAUGUCUUGGGCUUCACGCAUGCUACAAUGGCCGGUACAAAGGGCUGCAAUACCGUAAGGUGGAGCGAAUCCCAAAAGCCGGUCUCAGUUCGGAUUGAGGU
rnacentral:rRNA from 1 species